rnacentral:rRNA from 1 species
GUCUACGGCCAUACCACCCUGAACGCGCCCUAUUUCGUCUGAUCUCGGAAGCUAAGCAGGGUCGGGCCUGGUUAGUACUUGGAUGGGAGAUCGAAAGUCUAAUGCUCUACCCACUGAGCCAGCCAGGCGCCCUUUAAU